AUCAGCAUGCCGCGGUGAAUACGUUCCCGGGCCUUGUACACACCGCCCGUCACACCAUGGGAGCCGGUAAUACCCGAAGUCAGUAGUCCAACCUCGUGAGGACGCUGCCGAAGGUAGGAUUGGCGACUGGGGUGAAGUCGUAACAAGGUAUC
rnacentral:rRNA from 1 species